rnacentral:tRNA from 1 species
GUUCCUGUAGUUAAAUUUUUUUAACGGCGAUUUUUCAGGUCGUAGAUCUCGGAGAGGGCCAUAGAUCUCGGAGAGAGGCCGAGUGGGAACU